UAUUAUUAUUAUUUUGGCAGAUUAGUGCUUUAAAUUUAGAAUUUAAUUAUGUGAGUAUACACAAAUAAUAC
rnacentral:tRNA from 1 species